UACAGAGGUCCCGAGCGUUGUUCGGAUUCAUUGGGCGUAAAGGGUGCGUAGGCGGCGGGGCAAGUCUGAUGUGAAAUCCCGGGGCUCAACCCCGGAACUGCAUUGGAUACUGCCUUGCUCGAGUACUGGAGAGGGAACUGGAAUUUACGGUGUAGCAGUGAAAUGCGUAGAGAUCGGGAGGAACACCAGAGGCGAAGGCGGCUAGCUGGACAAGCACUGACACUCAACUACGAAAGCGUGGGGAGCAAACAGG
rnacentral:rRNA from 1 species